rnacentral:lncRNA from 1 species
AUGGCUCCCACAAAGAAGGGUGGUGAGAAGAAAAAGGGCCGUUCUGCCAUCCACAAGGUGGUGACCUGAGAAUACACCAUCAGUAUGCACAAGCGCAUCCAUGGAGUGGGCUUCAAGAAGCGUGCCCCUCGGACACUCAAAGAGAUUCAGAAAUUUGCCAUGAAGGAGAUGGGAACUCCAGAUGUGCGCACUGAUACCAGGCUCAACAAAGCUGUCUGGGCCAAAGGAAUAAGGAAUGUCCCAUAACGAAUCCAUGUGCGGUUGUCCAGAAUACGUAAUGGGGAUGAAGAUUCACCAAAUAAACUCUAUACUUUGGUUAUCUAUGUAUCUGUUACCACUUUCAAAAAUCUACAGACAGUCAAUGUGGAUGAGAACU